GUCACUUUGCCGGAGUGGUUAACGGGAUCGCCUGCUAUCUUACGUAAGCAUCUAGCGGUUGGGCUUUGCCCGCGUGUGUUCGAAUCGCACAGGUGACG